CAGCCGUAAACUAUGCGCGUUAGGUGUAUCGGUGACCACGAGUUACCGAGGUGCCGAAGGGAAACCGUGAAACGUGCCGCCUGGGAAGUACGGUCGCAAGGCUGAAACUUAAAGGAAUUGGCGGGGGGAGGCACCACAACAGGUGGAGCCUGCGGUUUAAUUGGACUCAACGCCGGGAAGCUCACCGGAUAGGACAGCAGAAUGAUUGCCGGGCUGAAGACCCUGCAUGACUAGCUGAGAGGAGGUGCAUGGCGUAGACGU
rnacentral:rRNA from 1 species